rnacentral:rRNA from 1 species
GAUGAACGCUGGCGGCGUGCCUAAUACAUGCAAGUCGAGCGAACAGACGAGGAGCUUGCUCCUCUGAUGUUAGCGGCGGACGGGUGAGUAACACGUGGAUAACCUACCUAUAAGACUGGGAUAACUUCGGGAAACCGGAGCUAAUACCGGAUAAUAUUUUGAACCGCAUGGUUCAAUAGUGAAAGACGGUUUUGCUGUCACUUAUAGAUGGAUCCGCGCCGCAUUAGCUAGUUGGUAAGGUAACGGCUUACCAAGGCAACGAUGCGUAGCCGACCUGAGAGGGGGAACGGCCACACUGGAACUGAGCCACGGUCCAGACUCCUACGGGAGGCAGCAGUAGGGAAUCUUCCGCAAUGGGCGAAAGCUUGACGGAGCAACGCCGCGUGAGUGAUGAAGGUCUUCGGAUCGUAAAACUCUGUUAUUAGGGAAGAACAAAUGUGUAAGUAACUAUGCACGUCUUGACGGUACCUAAUCAGAAAGCCACGGCUAACUACGUG